GAUGAAGAACGUAGCGAAAUGCGAUAAGUAGUGUGAAUUGCAGAAUUCCGUGAAUCAUCGAAUCUUUGAACGCACAUUGCGCCUUCUGGUAUUCCGGAAGGCAUGCCUGUUCGAGAGUCAUUAACAACCGUUUCGAUCCCUUUCUUUCAGAAAUUACAAAGAGGAAAAGGGUUUGGUUAUGGUGGAGGAGGGAAAGGGAGCGUUUAGCCUGUAAAAAAAGAGGCUGUGUUCCGCCUCCCCCCCAAAAUUGUACAGGCGGUCGUGUGCGCCCACGCAUCGAGGUGUUGUAAAAGCUGCCACGGCACUUUUCACCUGUGCAGUGCGAGAUUGGCCAGCCGGUUUAAAAACCCCUCCAACCAAUCAAAGGUUGACCUCGGAUCAGGUAGGGAUACCCGCUGAACUUAAGCAUAUCAAUAAGCGGAGGA
rnacentral:misc_RNA from 1 species